UCCUAGGUGGCUCAAUGGGUAAAGAAUCCACCUGCAAUGUGGGAGAUGCAGGAGACACAGGUUUGAUCCCUGUGUUGGGAA
rnacentral:tRNA from 1 species